rnacentral:rRNA from 1 species
ACGAACGCUGGCGGCGUGCUUAACCCAUGCCAGUCGAACGGAAAGGCCCUGCUUUUGUGGGGUGCUCGAGUGGCGAACGGGUGAGUAACACGUGAGUAACCUGCCCUUGACUUUGGGAUAACUUCAGGAAACUGGGGCUAAUACCGGAUAGGAGCUCCUGCUGCAUGGUGGGGGUUGGAAAGUUUCGGCGGUUGGGGAUGGACUCGCGGCUUAUCAGCUUGUUGGUGGGGUAGUGGCUUACCAAGGCUUUGACGGGUAGCCGGCCUGAGAGGGUGACCGGCCACAUUGGGACUGAGAUACGGCCCAGACUCCUACGGGAGGCAGCAGUGGGGAAUAUUGCACAAUGGGCUGAAGCCUGAUGCAGCAACGCCGCGUGCGGGAUGACGGCCUUCGGGUUGUAAACCGCUUUCGCCUGUGACGAAGCGUGAGUGACGGUAAUGGGUAAAGAAGCACCGGCUAACUACGUG